GAUGAACGCUGGCGGCGUGCCUAAUACAUGCAAGUCGAGCGAAGCGGGGACGGGUGAGUAACACGUUGCUACCCUCCUAUAAGACUAGGAUAACUUCGCGCAACCGGAGCUAAACCGGAUCCUUAUUGAUGGAACCGCGCUGCAUUAGCUAGUUGGUAAGGUAACGGCUUACCAGGGCAACGCUGCAUAGCCGACCUGCGAGGGUGAUCGGCCACACUGGAACUGAGACCCGGUCCAGACUCCUACGGGAGGCAGCAGUGGGGAAUCGUCCGCAAUGGGCGAAAGCCUGACGGAGCAACGCCGCGUGAGUGAUGAAGGUCUUCGGAUCGUAAAACUCUUUUAGUUGGGAAGCGGUACCUAAUCAGAAAGCCACGGCUAACUCCGUGCCAGCAGCCGCGGUAAUAC
rnacentral:rRNA from 1 species